UACGAAGGGGGCUAGCGUUGUUCGGAAUUACUGGGCGUAAAGCGCACGUAGGCGGAUACUUAAGUCAGGGGUGAAAUCCCGGGGCUCAACCCCGGAACUGCCUUUGAUACUGGGUAUCUCGAGUCCGGAAGAGGUGAGUGGAAUUCCGAGUGUAGAGGUGAAAUUCGUAGAUAUUGGGAAGAACACCGGUGGCGAAGGCGGCUCACUGGCUCGUUUCUGACGCUCAGGCGCGAUAGCGUGGGGAUCAAACAGG
rnacentral:rRNA from 1 species